rnacentral:rRNA from 1 species
GACAGAGGGUGCAAACGUUGUUCGGAAUUACUGGGCGUAAAGCGAGUGUAGGCGGUUUGAUAAGUCGGAUGUGAAAGCCCUGGGCUCAACCCAGGAAGUGCACUCGAUACUGUCAAGCUAGAGUAUCGGAGAGGUUGGUGGAAUUCUCGGUGUAGAGGUGAAAUUCGUAGAUAUCGAGAGGAACACCGGUGGCGAAGGCGGCCAACUGGACGAAUACUGACGCUGAGACUCGAACGAGCGUGGGAGGCAAACAGGA